GACGGGGGAUGCAAGUGUUAUCCGGAAUCACUGGGCGUAAAGCGUCUGCAGGUGGUUUCCUAAGUCCACUGUUAAACCUUGAGGCUCAACCUCAAAUCUGCAUUGGAAACUAGGAGACUUGAGUAUAGUAGGGGUAGAGGGAAUUUCCAGUGGAGCGGCGAAAUGCGUAGAUAUUGGAAAGAACACCGAUGGCGAAGGCACUCUACUGGGCUAUUACUGACACUCAGAGACGAAAGCUAGGGGAGCAAAUGGG
rnacentral:rRNA from 1 species